rnacentral:rRNA from 1 species
UUGCCUCAGUAACGGCGAGUGAAGCGGCAACAGCUCAAAUUUUAAAGCUGGCGUCUUUGACGCCCGCGUUGUAAUUUGGAGAGGCAUCUUCGGUUUGGGCGCCAGCCUAUGUUCCUUGGAACAGGACGUCACAGAGGGUGAGAAUCCCGUGCUUGGCUGGCUGUCCCUUUCCAUGUGAAGUGCCUUCGACGAGUCGAGUUGUUUGGGAAUGCAGCUCAAAAUGGGUGGUAAAUUCCAUCUAAAGCUAAAUAUUGGCGGGAGACCGAUAGCGCACAAGUAGAGUGAUCGAAAGAUGAAAAGCACUUUGAAAAUAGAGUUAAAAAGUACGUGAAAUUGUUGAAAGGGAAGCGCUUGAGACCAGACUCGGCCGGAGAUGAUCAGCCGUCCUUCUGGGCGGUGCACUUGUCUCCGGUCGGGCCAGCAUCGGUUGAGACGGCGGGAUAAAGGCCCGGGGAAUGUGGCUCCUUUCGGGGAGUGUUAUAGCCCCGGGCGCAAUGCCGCCAGCCUCGACCGAGGACCGCGCUUUUUGCUAGGAUGCUGGCGUAAUGGUCUUCAGCGACCCGUCUUGAAACACGGACCAAGGAGUCUAACAUCUAUGCGAGUGUUUGGGUGUCAAACCCUUGCGCGUAAUGAAAGUGAACGGAGGUGGGAACCCCUUCGCGGGGCGCACCAUCGACCGGUCCUGAUGUCUUCGGAUGGAUCUGAGUAGGAGCAUAGCUGUUGGGACCCGAAAGAUGGUGAACUAUGCCUGAAUAGGGUGAAGCCAGAGGAAACUCUGGUGGAGGCUCGCAGCGGUUCUGACGUGCAAAUCGAUCGUCAAAUUUGGGUAUAGGGGCGAAAGACUAAUCGAACCAUCUAGUAGCUGGUUCCUG